AAAUCGUUCGACGAGGAUCUAUUGGAGGGCAAGUCUGGUGCCAGCAGCCGCGGUAAUUCCAGCUCCAAUAGCGUAUAUUAAAGUUGUUGCAGUUAAAAAGCUCGUAGUUGGAUCUGGGGUUCGGGUCGGCGGUUUGCCGCUUCGGCGGCUACUGCCGUGCUCGACUCUUACUAGCCGGUGCGUCUUGCGGUGCUCUUCAUCGAGUGCCGUAGGAGCCUGGCAUGUUUACUUUGAAAAAAUUAGAGUGCUCAAAGCAGGCGAUUCCGCCUGAAUAGUGUUGCAUGGAAUAAUGGAAUAGGACCUCGGUUCUAUUUUGUUGGUUUUCGGAACUUGAGGUAAUGAUUAAGAGGGACGGUCGGGGGCAUUCGUAUUUCGGUGUUAGAGGUGAAAUUCUUGGAUCGCUGAAAGACGGACAAAUGCGAAAGCAUCUGCCAAGAACGUCUCCAUUAAUCAAGAACGAAAGUCAGAGGUUCGAAGACGAUCAGACACCGUCCUAGUUCUGACCAUAAACGAUGCCAACUAGCGAUCCGCAGUGGUUGCUAUAAACGGACUCUGCGAGCAGCUUCCGGGAAACCAAAGUGUUUGGGUUCCGGGGGAAGUAUGGUUGCAAAGCUGAAACUUAAAGGAAUUGACGGAAGGGCACCACCAGGAGUGGAGCCUGCGGCUUAAUUUGACCCAACACGGGGAAACUCACCCGGUCCGGACACUGUAAGGAUUGACAGAUCGAGAGCUCUUUCUUGAUUCGGUGGAUGGUGGUGCAUGGCCGUUCUUAGUUGGUGGAGUGAUUUGUCUGGUUAAUUCCGAUAACGAACGAGACUCUAGCCUGCUAACUAGUUGCGCCGUGUUCAUACGCGGCUGUAGACUUCUUAGAGGGACAGGUGGCGUUUAGCCACACGAAAUUGAGCAAUAACAGGUCUGUGAUGCCCUUAGAUGUCCGGGGCCGCACGCGCGCUACACUGAAGGAGUCAGCGUGUGCUAUCCUGGCUCGGAAGAGUUCGGUAACCCGUUGAAACUCCUUCGUGCUUGGGAUCGUGGCUUGUAAUUAUCGCGCAUGAACGAGGAAUUCCCAGUAAGUGCAAGUCAUCAGCUUGCGCUGACUACGUCCCUGCCCUUUGUACACACCGCCCGUCGCUACUACCGAUCGAAUGGUUUAGCAAGGUACUCGGAUUGGUCUCGAUCUUGUACGAAAGUGCGGGAUCUGUGGCC
rnacentral:rRNA from 1 species